GAUGAAGAACGUAGCGAAAUGCGAUAAGUAAUGUGAAUUGCAGAAUUCAGUGAAUCAUCGAAUCUUUGAACGCACAUUGCGCCCGCUAGUAUUCUGGCGGGCAUGCCUGUUCGAGCGUCAUUUCAACCAUCAAGCCCUGCUUGUGUUGGGGUCCUGCGGCUGCCCGCAGGCCCUGAAAACCAGUGGCGGGCUCGCUAGUCACACCGAGCGCAGUAGCACAUCUCGCUCAGGGCGUGCGGCGGGUUCUUGCCGUAAAACACCCCUUUUUACCAAGGUUGACCUCGGAUCAGGUAGGAAUACCCGCUGAACUUAAGCAUAUCAAUAAGCGGAGGA
rnacentral:misc_RNA from 1 species